rnacentral:rRNA from 1 species
UGUACACGCUGUGACUAGCAUAUCAAUAAGCGGAGGAAAAGAAACUAACAAGGAUUCCCCUAGUAACGGCGAGUGAAGCGGGAAGAGCUCAAAUUUGAAAUCUUAAAGGGUUUCCCUUUACGAAUUGUAGUUUAAAGAAGUGUUUUCUGUUGAGGUUUUGGUAAAAGUUCUUUGGAAUAGGACAUCAUAGAGGGUGAGAAUCCCGUAUUUGACCUUUACUUUCAACUUUGUGAUACACUUUCAAAGAGUCGGAUUGUCUGGGAAUGCAGUCCAAAAUGGGUGGUAAAUUUCAUCUAAAGCUAAAUAUUGGCGAGAGACCGAUAGCGAACAAGUACCGUGAGGGAAAGAUGAAAAGAACUUUGAAAAGAGAGUUAAACAGUACGUGAAAUUGUCAAAAGGGAAGCGUUUGACACCAGUGUUGUUUUUCUGAAAAUCAAUUAAAGAACUGUUUAUGCUAAGCUGUUUAGACUUUAUCAGCUAUCUGUUUAGUUUUGAGCUUUUCUUUAAUGCACUUUUCAGUUAACAAGUCAACAUCAAUUUCUUUUGCUGUAAAAAAGCUUGAGGAAGGUGGCUUGAGAUUCGUCUUAAGUGUUUAUAGCCUCUUGCCUAUGCAGUCGGAGAGAUUGAGGUCUGCAGCGUAGAUCCUUCGGGGCUAAAUGCAUUUGUGCUAAGUUAUAACAUUUUAUAGACAACUUGUUGACUAUGAUUUGUCUUGUAGCUUACUCGCUUAUGUUAUUUUACCUACGCUUAGGAUGUUGACGCGCGUGUGUGCGUG